rnacentral:rRNA from 1 species
AUUGAACGCUGGCGGCAUGCCUUACACAUGCAAGUCGAACGGUAACAGGUCUUCGGAUGCUGACGAGUGGCGAACGGGUGAGUAAUACAUCGGAACGUGCCCGAUCGUGGGGGAUAACGAAGCGAAAGCUUUGCUAAUACCGCAUAAGAUCUACGGAUGAAAGCAGGGGACCGCAAGGCCUUGCGCGAACGGAGCGGCCGAUGGCAGAUUAGGUAGUUGGUGGGAUAAAAGCUUACCAAGCCGACGAUCUGUAGCUGGUCUGAGAGGACGACCAGCCACACUGGGACUGAGACACGGCCCAGACUCCUACGGGAGGCAGCAGUGGGGAAUUUUGGACAAUGGGCGAAAGCCUGAUCCAGCCAUGCCGCGUGCAGGAUGAAGGCCUUCGGGUCGUAAACUGCUUUUGUACGGAACGAAAAGACGCUGGUUAAUACCUGGGGUCCAUGACGGUACCGUAAGAAUAAGCACCGGCUAACUACGUG